ensembl:snRNA U4 U4 spliceosomal RNA
AGAUUUGCGCAGUGGCAAUGUGGUAGCUGAAGAGGUUUAUCCGAGGCGCGAUUAUUGCUAAUUGAAAGCUAAAAAAGAGCAACAUCCUGGGCCCUGGUGAGGCUGCAUAGUCUGAGGAAAUAACGCAGGCUCCGUUUGCAGUUCUAGCGUUAGA